GAUGAACGCUGGCGGCGUGCCUAAUACAUGCAAGUCGAGCGAACAGACGAGGAGCUUGCUCCUCUGACGUUAGCGGCGGACGGGUGAGUAACACGUGGAUAACCUACCUAUAAGACUGGGAUAACUUCGGGAAACCGGAGCUAAUACCGUAUAAUAUAUUGAACCGCAUGGUUCAAUAGUGAAAGACGGUUUUGCUGUCACUUAUAGAUGGAUCCGCGCCGCAUUAGCUAGUUGGUAAGGUAACGGCUUACCAAGGCAACGAUGCGUAGCCGACCUGAGAGGGUGAUAGGCCACACUGGAACUGAGACACGGUCCAGACUCCUACGGGAGGCAGCAGUAGGGAAUCUUCCGCAAUGGGCGAAAGCCUGACGGAGCAACGCCGCGUGAGUGAUGAAGGUCUUCGGAUCGUAAAACUCUGUUAUUAGGGAAGAACAAAUGUGUAAGUAACUAUGCACGUCUUGACGGUACCUAAUCAGAAAGCCACGGCUAACUACGUG
rnacentral:rRNA from 1 species